UACGUAGGGUGCAAGCGUUAAUCGGAAUUACUGGGCGUAAAGCGUGCGCAGGCGGUGAUGUAAGACAGAUGUGAAAUCCCCGGGCUCAACCUGGGAACUGCAUUUGUGACUGCAUCGCUGGAGUACGGCAGAGGGGGAUGGAAUUCCGCGUGUAGCAGUGAAAUGCGUAGAUAUGCGGAGGAACACCGAUGGCGAAGGCAAUCCCCUGGGCCUGCACUGACGCUCAUGCACGAAAGCCGUGGGGAGCAAACAGG
rnacentral:rRNA from 1 species